AAUUCUGAUUUCCUAAUCCGCUCCGCUCCUCCCACUCCCGCCGCCUCUCGCUUCCGCGCUUCGUCUUCCUCCUCCCCCACCUCCACUCCGCGCGACGAUCCGCAGGUCAUCUCCCCUCCACCCGCGAGGAUUCCCGGAGAUCCUGCCCGCUCCCCCCGCCCCCCUCAACCCCCCUGGAGCGGAGGCGCGUGGUGGCUGGCGCUUCCCCCCUGCGGUGGUUGUGCUGCUGUGUUCGCGCGCGGGGCGCACGGGAGGUGUUCGACGGAAUGCCCAGCCGAGAGAAAGAGAGAGAGAGGGAGGGAGGAUUGAAAAAAAAAAUCGAAGUAUGGCGAAUAUCACAUCGUUGUUGCUGACAUUCUCUUCCUACCAGAGGUUUUAUCAAACUCUCAAAUUUUGAAGGUGAACUAACAAGAGAAAUUAUCAUUUCAGGCCACAACGGAUCCUGUGCUCUUAACAGCAGGCAAGCAUCCAAACUUUCCUAUUAGCUGCUGCUUUUUGUGUCAUCAGUGCAUCAAACCAAGUCAAUUGGUAAAAAGUUAGCUUGAAGUAUAAUUAUGAACGUAUGAGCAGUUGAUUUGCAUGGAUGGGCAUUUGGUUUCACUACCAUCCUCUAUGCCAAAGGACCAAGGCUCUUACUUUAGCAUGCUCUGGAAUUUAUUUUGCUACUCGUGCUUUCUGUGACAAGCCGAACCACAGGAUUGUCCACAAGGAUAAAAAUCUUGUUAGGGUCGAGAGGGAUUUGAUUGACGUGUUUACACUCCAUGAACUUCUGCAGUUAUGUGCAAAGAGGAGGUCCCUCUUAGUUGGGAAAAGCUGCCAUGGAUUAGCCAUUCAUUUUGGGCUGGUAACUGAUACUGUCACAUGCAAUAUUCUCAUCAACUUGUACACAAAAUGUGGCCAGAAUGAUUGUGCUCGUCGCGUUUUUGAUGCAAUGUCUGUCAGAAGCAUAAUCUCUUGGAAUACCAUGAUUGCUGGAUAUACUCAUAAUAGAGAGGAUGUAGAAGCACUGAAGCUUUUUUCAAGAAUGCACCGAGAAGGGACCCAGAUGACCGAAUUUACCUUAUCCAGCACUCUCUGCGCAUGUGCUGCGAAAUAUGCUAUUAUUGAAUGCAAACAGUUACACACUAUUGCCAUCAAGCUUGCACUUGAUUCUAGCAGUUUUGUUGGGACUGCAUUUCUUGAUGUUUAUGCAAAGUGUAAUAUGAUAAAGGAUGCCUGCUGGGUUUUCGAGAAUAUGCCUGAGAAAACUUCAGUUACAUGGAGUUCAUUAUUUGCAGGAUUUGUGCAGAAUGGUCUCCAUGAAGAGGUAUUGUGUUUAUUUCAGAGUACACAAAGGGAAGGAAUGCAAUUGACUGAAUUCACUGUUUCAUCUAUCCUCAGCACAUGUGCAAGCUUAGCAUUGAUAAUUGAAGGAACACAGGUGCAUGCAGUUAUUGUUAAGCAUGGUUUUCAUAGGAACCUCUUUGUAGCAACAUCUCUUGUGGAUGUCUAUGCAAAGUGUGGUCAGAUUGAAAAAUCAUAUGAAGUAUUUGCUGAUAUGGAAGAAAAGAAUGUUGUCUUAUGGAAUGCAAUGAUUGCUAGUUUUUCUAGGCAUGCUCAUUCUUGGGAAGCAAUGAUUCUCUUUGAGAAAAUGCAGCAGGUGGGGAUUUUUCCAAACGAAGUUACCUAUCUCUCCAUCUUGUCAGCAUGCAGUCAUACUGGCUUAGUUGAAGAGGGCCGUCACUACUUUAACCUGCUAUUGUCUGAUCGGACCGCUGAACCUAAUGUCCUUCACUAUUCUUGUAUGGUUGAUGUUUUGGGGCGAUCUGGGAAGACUGAUGAGGCUUGGAAAUUACUUGAUAAAAUGCCAUUUGAACCAACUGCAUCUAUGUGGGGAUCUUUGCUUGGAUCAAGCAGGAUCCACAAGAAUAUUAGAUUAGCCAGAAUAGCAGCUGAACAGCUUUUCCGUCUUGAGCCUGAAAAUGGAGGGAACCAUGUUUUGCUAUCAAAUGUAUAUGCUGCCAGUGGAAACUGGGAGAAUGUUGUUGUUGCAAGGAAGUAUUUGAGGGAUAGUGGUGCUAAAAAAGAGAUGGGCAGGAGUUGGAUUGAGGCGAAAGGCAAGAUUCAUGUUUUUGUUGCUGGAGAGAGAGAACACCCAGGAAUAACUGAUGUAUACAAUAAGUUGGAGGAAAUUUACCAUGAGAUGAGAAAGAUUUCUCACAGAGCCAACACACAAUGUGAUCUGCAUGAUGUGCAUGCUGACCAAAAAGAGGAGCUACUUAAACACCACAGUGAGAAACUAGCAUUUGCUUUUGGUUUAAUCAGCUUGCCCCCUAAUAUACCAAUUACUAUAUACAAGAACCUUAGGAUCUGCGGAGACUGUCAUUCCUUUAUGAAGAUUGUAUCCUGUAUUACAGAACGCCAAGUCAUUGUCAGAGAUAUCAAUAGAUUUCACCAUUUUAAGGAUGGCUCAUGUUCUUGUGGGGACUUCUGGUGAUCUAGGACUGAAUGAGGAAUACCAAUCAUCUACCAGCGGUGCCCUCAUCAUGUAGAAAAUUAUUGCCCUGUGAGUAGUGGCACUGCCGCACUAAAGAUCUGUGUCAGGACUUAUAUUGAUAUUCUUUGUCACCCAAGUCAAUAAUGUCAUGCUGCUGGCCCCAUUUGGUGUAAUAUCAACACAAUCAUCUGAACUGUGCAUAGCAAAUGGAAGCACAGAUAGCCUACAGAAGUUGCAAUUGAAACUAUUUGGUUUGUACUAGUGCUCUGAAGUUAAUUGAACUGCACAAUUGGAUGCACAUUUCAUCUACGCUCCUAUAAUCGAAUCUUUCUCAUCAUUUUUCCACUCCAAAAAUGAUGAAUUCUGGAAAGUGACACUGCGGCGUAGGGGCUCUGGUGGUGCAUGUAGCCGUACAUUGCCGUCGCCUGAUCCGCCUCCGGCUCCGGGCCGCAGUCGAGGUUAACGCCGAACAGCCUGAGCCGCCUCGACGGCGGCGGCGCCGACGCCGCGCUGCUGCUCUUGGCGUCUGCUUCUCUCUGCGACUCUCCUGCAAAUUGUUCCACCGCGAAAGUUUGUCAGCCUUUGGAGAAACCGGAGGGCCCAAGAUGGGGCGUUUUUUUGUCCAGAAUCCAAUCAUAACGGUGAUUUAACGGAUCUCCUCAUAGUUGUAUAGCUGUGUACGUAUCUGUUGAAGAGUGGAGGAACACACCAGAUCAGAACUACUAAACUGGUACCCAUCUGCAGGCAAGGCAUAGCAUCUGGACAGUGCAUAUGCAUGCACUGGCUGUGAAUUGUUGCCCCAAGUGCAUCAUAUUUAAAGGUGGCAAUGAGGAUCGGAGCUAGGGAGCCACGCAGCAGGUUCUUCAUCCUACAAGCUUCAAUCAUGCAGCUCACCUGCCCAAUCGUUUGAUAAUUCAGGAUCAUGCAGAUGUAUGUGUGUAUGACCAAGAGCCUUGAACGGCAUGAUGGACGUGGGGAGCAUAUAUACAACACCUUUAUUAUUAGGAAUGGUGUUGGUUUAAUUAAGAUGUACGAACUUCGAAGAUUGUUUUUGUGGUGGCUUGUCGCUGGUUGAUGUAAACUAAUACCCAAUGUGAUGUCUAUUCUACGUGGCCCGCGGCUAAUGCACACAUGUCCUCAACUACUAAUAUAUCCAGGUGCGACUAAAUCUGAGAUCUUUUGAACAGAUCUUGGUGUGUGCUGUGGGAAUGCGUAAAGGAGAGGUGCAGAUGAUCUCAAGAUUGGAGCUUUUUUUUUUUCUUCUGUUUUGGCGCACUGAAGAAAGACUGACUGACGUGAUAGAGAAGGGCAGGGGAGGAGAUGAUGGCAGAGAAAAACUGGAGUGAAGGGGGGAGACAAAGUGGAAGCAAGGCCCUCCUGAUUACCACGAGAAAGAGAAAGUGAGAGUUUGAUACUAGGCCCUAAAAAGGAUGAACACACACAGGUUACAAUGGUGUGAUCAGAAAACACCAAAUUAACUUAUAUUUAUCCUGGUGGUCUCUUCCAAGGGGUACCUGAAAGAAAGAUCGAUCCAGUUGGAUGAGCUAGAAAAGCACCCGGGACAGGUACGUACCCAGCUGCACUGUAUCAGUACCAAGAAGAGUCAGCCGCUUGUUGUCCCUGCACGAACCUGACCCAUCAUCACUCAUCAUCAUCGUCAGCAUUCAGCAGCAAUGCAAUGCGAGCAGCAGCAGCAGCAAUAGCUGGUCCUUUUCACUGCUGCUCCUCGUCGUCUUCUUCUCCUUCCCCACCGGAACAGUUCGGCACGCAGACUGGCAUAAGCGGGUUGUCGACGACGAAGACGAGGAGGAGGAGGCAUGCAGGUUGCAGGCGCGCGUGCUGUAACUGGCUGGGGCCGGGCGCCGGUGUCCACGUGCCGCCGCGCCGGCGAGCCGGAGGCAGGGGUCCCCGGCUAGCCGGCCGGCGGUCCAGCCUAGCUCAGCGCUCUCCUCCACGCGCGCGGGCCACACACAGGGGUGAUGUGAAGGUGAUGGAUGAGGUCCCCGAUCUCUACUGUACAUGUGGACCUCGGAGCAAAACGCCAUCAAGUUUCUCGCAUGCUGCUGGGGUACACACUUUGCACAGCGCGCGAAUGAUCGUCACAGCUUUGCAAUGCAUAAUGCCGCUGGAAACGGUGAUUAAUUGUCCACCUCAGUCACUACGGUACGUAUAAGCUUACCUCUUGUGGCUUCUUUGUUUACUGCUUCCUCCGUCAAACAUAAGAUUGUAUUAUAUACAUUCUACUAUUACGAAUCUAAACAAGUUACACUUAAAGAUAGAGAUAUUACUUCUGAAAACAAAUAUAGUAAUAUAUUAUUGUGUGAACUAA